rnacentral:tRNA from 1 species
UCCAGGGUAGCCUAGUGGACAUGGCAUCUGCCCGGUAAGCGGAAGGUUGUGGGUUCGAUUCCCGCCCCUGGAU